AGAGCGAACGCUGGCGGCGUGGUUAAAGCAUGCAAGUCGAGCGAAUGUUGCAUUUGGGUAACCGAGUGUAACGUUAGCGGCGAACGGGUGAGUAACGCGUGGGUAACGUACCCCGAACACAAGUAUAGCUAGCCGAAAGGUUAGGUAAUACUCGAUGAAGCCAUUCCUGGGCAUCUUGGAAUGGUCAAAGGGCGACCUCUAUUUAUAAGUUGUCGGUUUGGGAUCGGCCCGCGUCAUAUCAGCUUGUUGGUAAGGUAACGGCUUACCAAGGCUAAGACGUGUAGCUGGUCUGAGAGGAUGAUCAGCCACAUCGGGACUGAGACACUGCCCGGACCUCCACGGAGGGCUGCAGCAACGAAUCAUCCGCAAUGCGCGAAAGCGUGACGGUGCGACGCCGCGUGCGGGACGAAGCCCCUAGGGGUGUAAACCGCUGUCAGGGGAAACCACACCGAUAGGGCAAAUAGUCCUUGAGGUAGAGGGAACCCAGAGGAAGCCACGGCUAACUCUGUGCCAGCAGCCGCGGUAAGACAGAGGUGGCUAGCGUUGCUCGGAAUCACUGGGCUUAAAGGGUGCGUAGGCGGCUUAUCAAGCAUUAUGUGAAAGCCCUCGGCUCAACUGAGGAAUUGCAUAAUGAACUGGUAAGCUUGAGGUGCGUCGGGGCCGGAAGAACUCUGGGUGGAGCGGUGAUAUGCGUAGAUAUCCAGGGGAAUGCCAGUGGCGAAGGCGUCCGGCUAGGCGCAAUCUGACGCUAAGGCACGAAAGCGUGGGUAGCGAACGGGAUUAGAUACCCCGGUAGUCCACGCUGUAAACGUUGUGCACUGGUUUCGGGAACCUCUGACGGUUUCCGGAGCGUAGAAAAAUCGUUAAGUGCACCGCCUGGGGACUACGGCCGCAAGGCUAAAACUCAAAGGAGUUGACGGGGGCUCACACAAGUGGUGGAGCAUGUGGCUUAAUUCGAGGCAACGCGAAGAACCUUACCUGGGUUUGACAUGUACGGAUGCCCCCCUGGAAACAGGGUGUGGUUGCCCUCGUGGUGAAACGUACACAGGUGCUGCAUGGCUGUCGUCAGCUCGUGCCGUGAGGUGUUGGGUUAAGUCCCGUAACGAGCGAAACCCCUAUCUUUAGUUGCCAGUUCCGAUUUAUCGGAAGGCACUCUAACGAGACUGCCGGCGUCAAGCCGGAGGAAGGUGGGGACGACGUCAAGUCAUCAUGGCCUUUAUACCCAGGGAUGCACACGUGCUACAAUGCCAGGUACAAAGUGACGCGAAGCCGCGAGGUGGAGCAAAUCGCAAAAAACCUGGCCCAGUUCAGAUUGCAGUCUGCAAUUCGACUGCAUGAAGUCGGAAUCGCUAGUAAUCGCGUAUCAGCAAUGACGCGGUGAAUGUGUUCCUGAGCCUUGUACACACCGCCCGUCAAGCCAUGGAAGUUGGGACCACCCNGAAGUCAGCUUAGCGAAUCCCUCGGGAUAGCGGUUGCCUACGGUGUGCUCGGUGACUGGG
rnacentral:rRNA from 1 species